AAAUUGAAGAGUUUGAUCAUGGCUCAGAUUGAACGCUGGCGGCAGGCCUAACACAUGCAAGUCGAACGGUAACAGGAAGAAGCUUGCUGCUUUGCUGACGAGUGGCGGACGGGUGAGUAAUGUCUGGGAAACUGCCUGAUGGAGGGGGAUAACUACUGGAAACGGUAGCUAAUACCGCAUAACGUCGCAAGACCAAAGAGGGGGACCUUCGGGCCUCUUGCCAUCGGAUGUGCCCAGAUGGGAUUAGCUAGUAGGUGGGGUAACGGCUCACCUAGGCGACGAUCCCUAGCUGGUCUGAGAGGAUGACCAGCCACACUGGAACUGAGACACGGUCCAGACUCCUACGGGAGGCAGCAGUGGGGAAUAUUGCACAAUGGGCGCAAGCCUGAUGCAGCCAUGCCGCGUGUAUGAAGAAGGCCUUCGGGUUGUAAAGUACUUUCAGCGGGGAGGAAGGGAGUAAAGUUAAUACCUUUGCUCAUUGACGUUACCCGCAGAAGAAGCACCGGCUAACUCCGUGCCAGCAGCCGCGGUAAUACGGAGGGUGCAAGCGUUAAUCGGAAUUACUGGGCGUAAAGCGCACGCAGGCGGUUUGUUAAGUCAGAUGUGAAAUCCCCGGGCUCAACCCGGGAACUGCAUCUGAUACUGGCAAGCUUGAGUCUCGUAGAGGGGGGUAGAAUUCCGGUGUAGCGGUGAAAUGCGUAGAGAUCUGGAGGAAUACCGGUGGCGAAGGCGGCCCCUGGACGAAGACUGACGCUCAGGUGCGAAAGCGUGGGGAGCAAACAGGAUUAGAUACCCCGGUAGUCCACGCCGUAAACGAUGUCGACUUGGAGGUUGUGCCCUUGAGGCGUGGCUUCCGGAGCUAACGCGUUAAGUCGACCGCCUGGGAGUACGGCCGCAAGGUUAAAACUCAAAUGAAUUGACGGGGGCCCGCACAAGCGGUGGAGCAUGUGGUUUAAUUCGAUGCAACGCGAAGAACCUUACCUGGUCUUGACAUCCACGGAAGUUUUCAGAGAUGAGAAUGUGCCUUCGGGAACCGUGAGACAGGUGCUGCAUGGCUGUCGUCAGCUCGUGUUGUGAAAUGUUGGGUUAAGUCCCGCAACGAGCGCAACCCUUAUCCUUUGUUGCCAGCGGUCCGGCCGGGAACUCAAAGGAGACUGCCAGUGAUAAACUGGAGGAAGGUGGGGAUGACGUCAAGUCAUCAUGGCCCUUACGACCAGGGCUACACACGUGCUACAAUGGCGCAUACAAAGAGAAGCGACCUCGCGAGAGCAAGCGGACCUCAUAAAGUGCGUCGUAGUCCGGAUUGAGUCUGCAACUCGACUCCAUGAAGUCGGAAUCGCUAGUAAUCGUGGAUCAGAAUGCCACGGUGAAUACGUUCCCGGGCCUUGUACACACCGCCCGUCACACCAUGGGAGUGGGUUGCAAAAGAAGUAGGUAGCUUAACCUUCGGGAGGGCGCUUACCACUUUGUGAUUCAUGACUGGGGUGAAGUCGUAACAAGGUAACCGUAGGGGAACCUGCGGUUGGAUCACCUCCUUA
rnacentral:rRNA from 1 species